UUACCAAGAAAACAUUUCAUAAUAAAAAAAAAAUAGCAAGCGGAAGACUUUCUAGACUUUAUACAUGAUGUCUCAAAACCAUCUAAUACUUUAGAGAACAAAAUUCGGGACUAAUCCCAUACACAACUUAAACAAUACUAGAAAUACAUCAAAGGAAACAUGUAGGGUAUUGCCCUCGAAUCUAUGAGGACUCACCAAGUCUUCAUCUCCAACGCUU
rnacentral:lncRNA from 1 species